rnacentral:rRNA from 1 species
AGAAUCAACGCUGGCGGCGUGCCUAACACAUGCAAGUCGAACGAGAAAGUGGAGCAAUCCAUGAGUAAAGUGGCGCACGGGUGAGUAACACGUGACUAACCUACCCUUGAGUGGGGGAUAACCUAGGGAAACCUGGGCUAAUACCGCAUAAUACCUUCGGGUCAAAGGAGCAAUUCGCUUAAGCGAGGGGGUCGCGGCCGAUUAGUUAGUUGGCGGGGUAAUGGCCCACCAAGACGAUGAUCGGUA